rnacentral:rRNA from 1 species
AUUGAACGCUGGCGGCAUGCUUUACACAUGCAAGUCGAACGGUAACAGGCCUUCGGGUGCUGGCGAGUGGCGAACGGGUGAGUAAUGCAUCGGAACGUACCCAGAGGUGGGGGAUAACGCAGCGAAAGCUGUGCUAAUACCGCAUGUGAUCUGAGGAUGAAAGCGGGGGACCGAGCAGCAAUGUUUGGCCUCGCGCCUUUGGAGCGGCCGAUGUCGGAUUAGCUAGUUGGUGGGGUAAAGGCCUACCAAGGCGACGAUCCGUAGCUGGUCUGAGAGGACGACCAGCCACACUGGGACUGAGACACGGCUCAGACUCCUACGGGAGGCAGCAGUGGGGAAUUUUGGACAAUGGGCGCAAGCCUGAUCCAGCAAUGCCGCGUGCGGGAAGAAGGCCUUCGGGUUGUAAACCGCUUUUGGCAGGAACGAAACGGUGUCCGCUAAUACCGGGCGCUAAUGACGGUACCUGCAGAAUAAGCACCGGCUAACUACGUG